CACAAAACCCAAUUUGUAUAAAUAGGCAGAAGACCUGAAUAAUUAAUUUUCCAAAGAAAAUAUACAAAUGGCCAAGAGGUACAUAAAAUGUGCUCAACAUCACUAAUCAUCAGGGAAAAUGGAACUGAAAACUAUGAUGGCUAUCAUCAACAAGACAAGAGAUGACAAAUGCUGGUGAGGAUGUGGAGAGAUGAAAACACUUGCGCAUCAUUGGUUAGAAUGUAAACUAGAACAGCCACUAUGGAAAACAUUAUGGGGGUUCCUCGGAAAUUAAAAAAAAAAAAAAAGCAUGAUCCAGAAAUCCUACUUCUGAGUGUAUAUCCAAAGGAAAUAAAGUCAUUAUCUCAAAGAGACAUCUGUACUCAUGCUCACUGCAGCAUUAUUCACUGUAGCCAAGGUAUGGGAACAACCUAAGUGUCCAUUGGUUUAAAAAUUGUGAUAAAUAGACUCACAGAAAAUAUUAUUCAGUCUUUAAAAGGAAAUCCUGUCAUUCGUGACAACAUAGAUUAAAGUGGAAGGUAUUAUGCUAAGUAAAAUAGCCAGAAAAAGAAAAACAAAUAUUGCAUUGUAUUACUUAUAUGUGGAAUCUAAAAAGACAAAAGUCAAGGUAAUAGAAAUAGUAGAAAAUUAGGGAGAGGGUAGAUAGGGAGGGGUUGGUGAAAUGGUACAAAAUUUUAGUUAUAAGGAGAAUAAGAUCUGAGGAUCUAAUGCAUAACAUGGUUACUAUACUUGAUAACACUGUAUUAUAUAAAUUAUUAAAAGAGAAAUGUUCUCACCCUACCCCAACCAAAAGUUAAAUAUGUGAGGUUAUGGAUAUGUCCAUUCACUUGAUAGUAGGAAUAUCUUCACAAUGUAUGUAUCAAACUGUCACAUUGUACAUUUUAAAUGUCAUAAAAUUGUACAUGACAUCUCAGUAAAGCUGAAAAAAAAAGAGAAUGUACUAAUAGCAUUAAUUAUGUAGAUUAGAAGGAGUUAAGAAAGUUUAAAAAUUAGAUAGGCUGCGAAAUCUGUGGAAGGAGGGGAAAGCCAAGUGGUCAAGAGUGGAGAUGAGCUGGGUUAAGAAGUAGAAGAAAGGCAAAUAGGAGGCUGGGUGACAGGCAUAUAUUGAGGCAUUUUGCAGAAAAGUGUUGUCUUUUGAAGAACAUUCUCUUUCCCUUUGGAAAGCAUCUCCAUCAUUGAGAGAAGCACCUGCUGCUUGAUGAGGCAGUGCAGCAGAGUGGUAACUGUGGAUUCCAUAGCCAAGCUAUGGUUUUAAGCCCUAAUUUGGUUAAGUUGCAUAUUCUCCCUGUGCCUUAGUUUCUUCAUCUGCAAAAUGGCAUAAUAGUGCCUACCUCUUAGGGCUGUUGGAUUUAAUAAGUUAAUAAAUGGAAGCAUUUUAAAACAGCCUAGCACAUAAUAAAGCUUCAAUCUGUAAUUACUAUUCUUAUUGGGAUGCAGAGUAGCUUGUGGUUAAGAGCCUAGAUUCUAGAGGCAAAAUACCUGUGUUCAAAUCCUGACUCUGUCCCUUACUAGCUAGGGGACUCUGGGAAAGUUACUUAAUUUCCCUCUGCUUAUUUCUUCAUCCGUAAAAUGAGGCUGAUUAUAGGCUCUACCUCAUAAGAUUAUAAGGAUCCACUAUGUUAAUAGAAGUAAAGUGCAUUUAAUAAGUGCAUUUAAGUACUUGCUGUUAUUAGUAUUACUGAAGAACCUUUGAAAAUAUCAGUUUUUGGACUUGUCCAUUCUGUUCUGUUUACAUAGCCGAUGUCAUCCCAGUGCUGGUGGAGGUCCCAUAAGCUGCUUCUAAAGAAGAACCCCAGGCCCCUGACUCUACAUGACCUCACACAAGCAGGAGUCCUUGAUGCAGGCAACUUCAGCAAUACUACAGUUUGGUGUGAACACUUUUGAAAACAGCAAGGCUCACAUACCCAAUUUUAGAUGCCCUCAGAUAAAGCAGAAUACUUUCUAAAAUAGUUUGAGCCCUUUUAAAAAAGGUUAACAGAGAAUAGCUACUGUGGGUCCUUAUCUAGUGUCUUGAAGACUGAAUUUUACUAUGCAAAGCUUUACCUUCAGUGAGACAAAUUUCAUGUCAGUCUCUGUUUUAGAAUUAGAUUCGGGUGUAUAUAACAGAAAGUUCACACUAACUAUGAUUCAAACAAGGCAGAAAUCUAUUUUUCUCAUGUAAAAUUCUGAGUGGGCAUGGCAGCUUUGCAGGGUUGGUAGGUGUCCACUUUUAGGUGUCGGAUGUCUUCCUGGUUGUCUCCCUGGUUGUUAAGGUGUUCUUCUCAUCACACAAUCCACUGUGACUGAACAGCAGAACCACAUUCCAAGCAGCAGGAUGCAGGAAGGGGGAGAAAGGAAGGAAAGACCUGAUCCAGAAACUAUGCAAAACUUUUACUCACUUUCCAUUGGUCAGAACUUUGUCACGUGGCUGGAAGGGAAGCUGGGAAACAAAGACUUUAAUUGAGAUGACUUUAUUCUCAACUUGAAGAGCUAAACGAAUGUGUUAUAGAAGCAGAGGAAGAUAGAUUUGAAGGAAAACUAGCAGCUGCUGUCAUAGUGAUACUUUUUUUUAAAUUAAGAAUUGCUAAUUUCUUGAAACUUUUCUGCUCAAUGACUUCAAGACCCUACUGUGUCACAUAUAGUAAGUUGAGAUUGGAGAUAGCUCCAAAAAGAAUUAGAGUUUUUAGUUUUAGAAUUGAAAUAUUUCAAAAGAAUUAAAUGUAAAAAAAAGUCAAAAGUUAAAAAAAAAAAAAAAUGAAAAUCCAAACUGCCAGUACUCAGUAAAUAUUACAAGCCAUGUUGAAAAUGUGUACCCUUUCACCAGAUUUUAGGCCCAACUAUAACUGUUUUACAUAAAUAGCACAAAAGUCACAGAAGACACUUUUUUAAGUGGCUGGGAGAAAAUGACCCAUGCAAAACUGAAAUGUAAUAGUCAAAGAACAUCAAAGAUCUGAAGUUAAUUGCACACUUAUCCUAGAACCUCAAAUGAGGCCAAAGCCCACCAUCCCUUUGAUUUGGUGUCUGAAGGCCUUAAGGUAAAAGCGCCUCGCUGGCCUCUAUUAGUCAUACAGAGGGGAAUCCAGCAGAGCUAAUUUUCAUUCCUCUUAGGAGGAAAAUGUUGCAAAGCCUAGCAUAUUUUUAUAGCUGAGACUAUACAAAAAGAUGGCCCUAACCCAAGAAGACGAGAGGUCAGUGAGUCGAGCACAGGACUUGAGGAAGGAAAUGCUGACCAAACCUUUUAGUAAGAAUCUGGGAAGAUAUCUGAAUCUGCAGUCUUUCAAAUUCAUUUGCUGCCUGGAAACCCAAAAACAUUUCUAUGUGAAGAAUCUUUUUUAAAAAGUAUCUUGACUUUUUUAGCACUUAGGUUAUAAGAACAGAAUGAACUAAAACAUAACCAACCUAAAAAAGUCCUGAUCAAAAAAAGCAGUCUUUCUGGAACUUGAGCCUCACAAAGCCACAGGAAUCGGAAAUGGAAAUACUUAACCAAGUUAAAGUCACUAAUAUUUAGAAAGCCUCCACUGCUUGAGGGCACAGUUCCUUGCGUCUCAUGCAAAGGCCAGUUUUAUUCCAAGAAAAAUACAGAGAACUGUUGUGUUGAGAUCUAGUAAAACAAGCAAGGAUCAAGCAAGUCUUUAACAAACAGCCCUUUAUUGCCACAGAAAUACUCUGGUCUCCUGUUCUCUGAAUGGCUCUAGUGUCUGACUCUGGGAUUAGAAAGGAAACGAAAAUGUUACCACUGACCUACAGUGCGGAGUGCCCUCUCUCCCCCGCACUCAUAAGAAUUUUGAAACUGGGUUUACUGCUUGUCCCUACAGCCCGAUGUAGAUCAGAAGAUCCAGGGUAUGGCUUCUUGGAUCCCUCAUACCAGGUGGUAGCUGAGUCCCUUCCCCAGCCACCCUAAAACCAUAAAAUCUAGUUCUUCUGCUGAGUUUAUAAUUAAACUCUCUGUCCAAAACUUUAUUCCCUUUCUUGUACCACACUUAUUCCCCCUCAAGAUGGAGGAGUAUGAAAGAAAAGGAAAAAUUAUAACCUAGCAGGAUUCUGUGGGACUUUCCUAUGUCCCCUGCCUGUGUCUUGUUUGUAGAAAAAUUUUAACCUCCUAGGCCCUCUCAGAAUCCCAAAGAGGAAAUGUAAUCAGAGAAGGGAGAAAAUGCAGAAACAAAGGAGAACAGUCAAGCAAGACAAAAUAAUAUUUUAGCCAUUAAAGUCAAGGACUUUUAGUUUUCCUCUUCUAUAGAUAAUAUCUAUAGAUAAUAUUCUGAGCCACAUCCUUGAGCAUUUUUGCAGAUACUGAUGUUCACUGCAAGUUGACCACAAGUACCUAGAUCCCAGACGGGUUGGAACCAGAAGGUUGAUGACGUUCGCUCCCAAUGACCUCACCAUCAACCAGUCAGAAAAUGUCCACAAGAUGAUCACACACCCCUCUACCUUCUCCCUCAUCUUCUCUUUGAAAACCUUUCCCUGAAAAUCAUCAGGAAAUCCGGGUCUUUUGAGCAUUGGCUGCCCAUUCUUCUUGCUUGGACUUGCAAUGAAGGCUGCACUUCUCUUCACAACCUCAUGUCAGUACAUUGGCUUUACUGCACACAGGUGAGUGGACCCAAGUUUGGUUCAGGAGCAAGGCCAAGGCAGAAUGGUAAAAGCACGCCAGGCCCAGCUGUCAUCAGAGCUGUCAGGGCCUCACAGCCUGUGAGGGAUCAGACACAGUCACUCUAUGCACCUUCGAGUGAAUGUACUGCAAAGGCAAGCAGACACCUUAGGCCUCUCUCUCAGAGAUUACUGUUAAAUAUCAGUUAUCACUUCCCCUGCCAUGUAUUGCAUUUCUACCAUGUACAGGUUGCACACACUCUCUUUAAUCCUUGAAUCAAUCCUGUAAUAUGAGAAUUAGGUCCGUGUAAUACAGAUGAGGAAACCAGGCUUGAAAGAGGUGAAGUAACUGCCCAAGAUUCAAGGCAGGCAGGCAGGCAGGCAGCCUCACUGCACAGAGUGUGUUUCCCAUACUCUAUCCUAUCUCUUUACCUUUCUUCAUUUCUUCCAAUAUAUCUCCUUCCUGGGCCACAAUAAGCAACUUCCCAGCCUGAUGAUAUAGCUGCCAACACCCCAUCCCUACUUCCCCAGGCUUGCAUAACAACAUAUAAAAUUCACAUGCUUGGUUAUUCUGAGAGCUGAAACCUAUGUAAAAUCCUCCUAAACUCCUCUUAAGUUUCUUUCCCAAACCUAUUGUUAAAGGUGCUAAAAAUAGUAUAUUUUGAGCUAAAUGAAACCACAACAUCACCUAGGAUAUCCUGUUCUGCCAUCUCCUGCUUUCCUUUCUUCCUUCUCUUCUGUUAGUUUAAGAGUGAAAGCAGGUUACACCAAGCCAAGAGAGGCUCCUUGACUCAUCAGGCACUUUUACUGAAAUGUGAGCAUCUUGAGGAAAGGGCUAGCUUUAUUUUGCUUCCCUAAUGCCCUACAUAUAGUGCCUCGCUGCAAAGACUUGUUUGAUAACUGCUUUGUUGAUUAAGUGACACUGAUAGAAAGUUCAUAGCAGUACAGUGAUUAUAUUGAGAUUUGCUUUGUAAUGUAGUCAUCGAACAAAGUUAGCAGCUAGGCUGUUAAGAAGCUGGGUUGUUAAGGAAAUUCCUGAAGACUUGUUUUAGAGAUACUGGUAUCUGCAGAUUAUAAACACAGAAUGAUGGUAACAGAGGAAAGAAACAUUCUUCCCCUUCUUGGGGAAUGCCUUUUUGGACAUCUUGGCAGCAAAUAGGACUUUUAGUCAUUUGAUAUUUUCUUCUGAUUCAAAUUCACAUUGUGAAGGAGAAACUGCCACAACUAACAAAUUAAUGUUGAAAUCCUACCAUGUUAUGCCUGGCUUGUUUUAAUAACCUCAUGGUCUGAACUUUCCAAGUGUGAGAGAAAAACAAUGUCACUUUCUGCUGACCUACCGAAACCAGUGAGCUGUCACAUUGGCUGUAUUUGUUGGUUCCGGAGACUCUUUACUUUGUCCCAGUGGAAAGUCAGAUGGGUCUAUCAGUCAUUGAGAGAGACAUGCGCUGUGCUACUUAAAACAUCUCAUUCAAUCCUCACACCAUUCUUUAAAGCUGAAAUUUUGAAAUUCCUGUGUGAGAAGAAUAAAAAUCUACUCUCAGAAAAAAAAAAGAAAGAAAAGGAAAAGAAAAUUGAGACCCAGGGACACAACAGAUACUGAAAAAUAUUCCAAAGAACGUGAAAGUCAGCAAAUGACAAGUCUUUGGCAGGCGAUGACCUGAGGCUCCAGCACCAAGGUAGAAGCAGCGACCGGUGGCAACUUUGGUGAGGAGGGCAAGGGGGGGGUAAAAGGAGGGAAGGGGAGAGCCCUCCCCUGCUGUGGAGUGGCCAGAAGAGGGGCCGGGACCCAUCUGUUCCCACCACUAACAGAGUUGGAACGAGAAUGCCUGCGGUUUAUAAACAAGAGUUUCUUAGGUCUGGGGUCUGGUCUGAUCUGAUAUCUGGAGAAUAGAAAAUGAACCUCUUCAUUACUCUAACCUGCACAUGCCCAUAUAUAUAGAACCAGUAUUUUUCUUACUCUCAUUUGAAGUAAUUGAAUGUUUUAAUCAUUCCAAUCUCGUUUCUUUUUUCUUUUUUCUUUUUAGGGCCGCACUGUGACAUAUGCAAAUUCCCCAGGCUAGAGGUUGAAUCAG